GUGGGCUAACUACUUUAUAGUGAAAAACAAGAUGACUGAAAAAUCUGCUAGAAAAUGUUUGUGUCACUCAAGGGAAGAUGUUUCCAGGUUUGUUAUAUUAGGUAAUCAUCGCGAUGCGUGGACAUUUGGAGCUGUUGAUCCGAAUAGUGGCACAGCAACCCUACUCGUGAUUGCACAAAGGCUCGAAAAACUGCAGAAAAUAGGGUGGAAGCCGCGAAGAACAAUCGUCUUAUGCAACUGGGACGCGGAGGAGUAUGGCCUGAUAGGUUCGGCAGAGUGGGUUGAAGAAAAUAGGGAAAUGCUAGCUGCAAGGGUCGUCGCCUACUUGAACGUUGAUUGUCCAGUUCAAGGGGGACCUUUUCGAGCCUCUGCAACCCCGCAGCUUGAUGAUAUAAUCAUAGAAGCUGCUCGGCAGGUCCAAGAUCCUGAUAACUCCUCACAAACUAUUUACCAAUCCUGGCUUGCCUCUGACAACGAUACAAUAGUAAAGCUCGGGAGAUUAGGAGGAGCUGGAUCAGAUUACGCGGCAUUUGUUCAACACUUGGCACCAAAAAAGCAUGUCGAGUUCAUUUUCAGAGCUUGUAAUUGCGGAAACUGCUUAAAAUAUAGGCAUCGAGCCAUAAAUAAGAAACGAGUAAACCGCAUAAAUAACUAUGUUACCCGGUCUACCACUCGAUGUACGAUGACUUUGUCUGGAUGAAGAAAUUUGGAGACCCGAUGUUUCAUAGGGAUACGGCAGUUGCAAGCAUUUGGGGUUUAGUAGCGCUUCGACUUGUAGACGAUGAAGUUUUUCCGUUCAAUUACCUAUCAUACGCGAUCGAGCUCUAGAAAAGUGCAGAAGACUUGGAAGGUG